UCACUUGUCCCUUAAAUGAGGACGCGUAUGAAAGGCAACAUGAGAGAAAACCUGUCUCCUAAGGAAUGCCAAUGAAAUUGAACUGCCAGUUAAAAAGCUGGUAUAAAAAAGCAAGACAAAAAGACCCUGUGGAACUUUAAUUAACUGCUUUACAUAAUAUAAACCAGUAAUUUCAGUUGGGACAACUUUAGAAAAAAUAAACUUCCUAAUUUUACUAGACUAACUAGUCCAAAACAACCAUGACCCAGUAGUACUGAUUAACGAAACAAGCUACCCCAGGGAUAACAGCGCCACCUUCUCAAAGAGUUCAUAUCAACAAGAAGAUCUACGACCUCGAUGUUGGAUCAGGGUACCCAGACGGUG
rnacentral:rRNA from 1 species